UACGGAGGAUCCGAGCGUUAUCCGGAUUUAUUGGGUUUAAAGGGUGCUCAGGCGGGACAUUAAGUCGGCGGUGAAAUUUUGCGGCUCAACCGUAAGAGUGCCUUCGAAACUGGUAUCCUUGAGUGUGGAUGAGGUAGGCGGAAUUUGUGGUGUGGCGGUGAAAUGCAUAGAUAUGUCGUGGAAUACCGAUUGCGAAGGCAGCUAACUGGGUCUUGAUUGACGCUGAGGCACGAAAGCGUGGGGAGCGAACAGGAUUAGAUAUCCCGGUA
rnacentral:rRNA from 1 species